UACGGCCAUAUUUCGUUGAAAUACUUGUUCUCGUACGAUCACGUAAGUUAAGCAGCGUCGAGUUUGGUCAAUACUUAAAUGGGUGACCGCUUGGGAAUACCAG